GCUCUUCUUCUUCCACAGGCUCGUCGUUGCAACGUCUUUGCCGGUCGUCGUCGCUGUGAACCCGUCGCCAUAGCACGUAGCUGUCGCAACUUCUUCAUAAUCAAAUAGAAAAUUACAGAAAAGAGAAAAGGAGAAUUUUGUUCCUAAUUAGUUCUCACCGUCAACGAUGGAGAUUUCAGGCGCCGUUCUAAGGAAUUUCACGUGCCCGUCCUUUUCUAUGCACAUGAGUUCCCGUCGUGGUGGUGGUGGUGGUUGUGUUAUGGUGCCGGUGAGGAUGAGAGAAAAGGCGGUGGUGCAUUGUUGCUGCAGGUUCAGUGAUUCAGGGCAUGUGCAGUAUUACAGGGACGAAAAGAAGGAGUAUGGAACCACUAUGUUGAGCGCCAAGAAAAAACUCAAGAUGCUGAAGAAACGUGUCUUUUUCAUGAUCUUUAAGGAAACCUAACUUCGCUGCUUUGGUUUUACCUGUUAUAUGUCUUUAGCAUGGUUCUAAGCACCAUCUGGUAACAUUCUCUUUCCACAGUAGUCGACUGAGAGAUAUGCUUUUCCCCUUGCCACCUCGGCUGAAGAGAAUGCAAUGUUCCUUGAUAUAUUGCAUGAAGCUCCCUCCACAUGGCAGCUUAUCAUCCGUACUUUAUGGGCCAUGAGAGAAGCUCAAUUGGAGUCUCAGAUUUAAGAUUAUUUUGGGAACUGCCGAGGAACUUUGCUAUCUUCAUGAGAGAUGUCAAAGAAGGAUCAUUCACAAGGAUAUCAAGGCUUUUAAUAUUCUUCUCUCUGAGACUUUUGAGCCUCAGUUAUCUGAUUUUGGCCUAGCAAAGUGGUUACCUGACCUAUGGACUCACCAUACUGUUUCCAAAGUAGAAGGCACAUUCGGGUACCUUAUCCCUGGAUUCUUCAUGCAUGGAAUAGUAGAUGAGAAAACUGAUGUAUAUGCUUACGGUGUGCUAUUAUUGGAGCUAAUUACUGGAAGACAAGCUUUGGAUAGCUCACAAAAAAGUCUUAUCAUGUGGGCAGGUUAUGCUACCUUAGCCAUAGGAACUGAGUGGAUUUUUCGCCCCAAGCAAGAAGUGAUCUCUCUGGUGCUUUGUAGUUGCGAUGUUCUUCUUUUGCUGUUAACAGGUUUUUUCCUUGCAUUGCUCUUGUUUCAUUCUCGAAAUGAAGUUUUUCUAUUGGGAAAAAAAUUUAGCAAAAUUUCAAAAUUUUUUUACAUAAGAAUAAAUUUUAAAAAAAGUAGCAUUAUAUAACAACCAGGACAGAGGAGUGGGCAGUGGCCCUUCUUCUUUGAAUAAUUCUACCACCUCCGUACCAAUUAACAGUAGAUGUUUAAUUGAAAGAAAGAAUAAAUAAAUCUUAAAUUAAUGAUGGUUAAUUGAACCUCAAACAGACCAUGUCAUAGUUAAUUCUAGUUCUCUAGCUGGAUUCCUUGUUCUUAUUUGAUAUGCAACUACUAAAUAUGUUUUGACUAAUUACAACAUAUAAUACAUUAGUUUUUUAUAAUUUGAGUGAAGCCAUUAAGUGGAAUACAGUGAAGUUUCACACUAAGGCCUUAAGGGAUUGAAUAAUAUAUAGCAAGAUUUUAGAACUAUGCAGAACAUGAAGUAUAUAAGAGGGCAUGUAUUGCAGCACCAGCACAUAUAAAAUGAGGGGAAGAAAAUAUAUAAGAGGUCCCAUUUAUGUCCACCAAUAUAAUUUCUAUAUGUUGUUCCAUUUCUCCAUUCUACUCUUCAUGUUAAUUAAUUAGCUUCUUCUUUCUUUCUCCAUUGCAAGCACCUCCUCAAGUCUAAUGUUGAUUCUUCUUCGCUCCAUUCUUUACAUAUCCUCUUAGCUUAAUUCCUAGCUAGAAUAGGACUAGAUUUUUUACAUGCUUUCCUGUCAAAUAUUUAUUUUCUUAGUUAUUCAAUUAUUAUUCAAUACAUACACUACUUUGAAUAAUGGUACGACUCUAAA